rnacentral:rRNA from 1 species
GAUAUGUUAAAGAUUUAUCGGUAUAAGAUGGGCAUGCGUCUGAUUAGCUAGUUGGCGGUGUAACGGACCACCAAGGCGACGAUCAGUAGGGGUUCUGAGAGGAAGGUCCCCCACACUGGCACUGAGAUACGGGCCAGACUCCUACGGGAGGCAGCAGUAGGGAAUAUUGGGCAAUGGUCGGAAGACUGACCCAGCCAUGCCGCGUGCAGGAAGACGGCCCUCUGGGUUGUAAACUGCUUUUAUCUGGGAAGAAAAAGGCCAUGCGUGGCAAAUUGCCGGUACCAGAUGAAUAAGCACCGGCUAACUCCGUGCCAGCAGCCGCGGUAAUACGGAGGGUGCAAGCGUUGUCCGGAUUUAUUGGGUUUAAAGGGUGCGUAGGCGGCUGAAUAAGUCAGCGGUGAAAGACUCCGGCUUAACCGGAGCAGUGCCGUUGAUACUGUUUAGCUUGAGUUCUGCAGGGGUACAUGGAAUUGAUGAUGUAGCGGUGAAAUGCAUAGAUAUCAUCAGGAACACCGAUAGCGAAGGCAUUGUACUGGGCAGCGACUGACG